ACUGACUUCAGAUCAGAAGAUGAGUGUUUGUGUGGAGGAAGAGGAGGACAGAGCAGAGUCUGUAGUGUCCAGCUGUCUGUCUAUGAAGAGUGACCGGUCCAAAGGUCUUCCUGUAGUCUUCAGUAAUGGACCUGGACCCUCAGACUCACAGAGGUUUUAGAUGAUCAUAAGAUCAGUCUGAAGAAGAGAUGUGAAUGUGUGACUGAAGGGACUGAUGAAACAGGAAGUGGAACCCUCCUCAACUGGAUCUACACUGAGCUCUACAUCACAGAGGGACAGAGUGAAGAGGUUAAUACCCAACAUGAGGUUUGGCAGCUUGAGACAGCUUCCAAGAUGGAGACUCUCCAUGACACUCCAAUCAGGUGCCACUGAUCUGACGAACGGUGUCGCUGGUGUUGGAAAAACCUUCUCAGUGCUGAAGUUCACUCUGGACUGGGCAGAGGGCUCGGAGAACCAAGAUGUCAGUCUGGUGGUUCUGCUUUCGUUCAGGGAGCUGAACCUGAUCAAAGAUGAGCAGUACAGUCUUCUCAGGCUGCUCCAUGUUUUCCAUCCAACAUUACAGAAGGUCACAGCAGAGCAGCUCGCUGUCUGUAAACUUUUGUUCAUCUUUGACGGCCUGGAUGAAAGCAGACUUUCACUGGAUUUCAAGACCAAGAAGGUUGUGUCUGACGUCACACAGAAGUCUUCAGUCAACGUGCUGCUGACAAACCUCAUCAAGGGGAAUCUGCUUCCCUUGACUCUCGUCUGGAUAACUUCCAGACCUGCAGCAGCCAAUCAGAUCCCUCCUGAAUGUGUUGACAGGGUAACAGAAGUACGAGGCUUCACUGACGCCCAGAAGGAAGAGUACUUCAGGAAGAGAGUCAGUGAUGAAUAUCUGUCCAACAGGAUCAUCUCACACAUCAAGACCUCCAGGAGCCUCCACAUCAUGUGUCUAAUCCCAGUCUUCUGCUGGAUCACUGCCACAGUUCUGGACCACAUGUUGACUACAAACCAGAAAAGGAGAGCUGCCCAAGACCCUGACUGACCUGUACUCACUCUUCCUGCUGGUUCAGACAAAGAGGAAGAAGCAGAAGUAUGAUGAGGGACAUGAGACGAGUCCACAGGAGCUGACAGAGGCUGACAGGAAGGUUCUUCUGAAGUUGGGGAGGCUGGCGUUUGAACAUCUGGAGAAAGGAAACAUCAUGUUCUACCAAGAAGACCUGGAACAAUGUGGUCUUGAUGUUUCAGAGGCCUCGGUGUACUCAGGAGUUUGUACAGAGAUCUUCAAAAGAGAGAGUGUGAUAUUCCAAAAAACAGUCUACUGCUUCGUUCAUCUGAGCAUUCAGGAGUUUUGGGCUGCAGUCUACAUGUUCCACUGUUACACCAACAGGAACACAGAGGUACUGGAGGGUUUCCUGGGGAAAAAAAUAUGUUGAUUCAUCUCUGGACGUUUUCCUGAUGGAAACAAUGAAGAAAUCCCUGAGGAGUAAAAACGGUCACCUGGACCUGUUUGUUCGCUUCCUUCAUGGCCUCUCUCUGGAGUCCAACAAAGGACUCUUAAGAGGCCUGCUGGGUCAGACAGACAACAGUCCAGAAACCAUCCAGAGAGCCAUCAACAACCUGAAGAAGAAGAAGACCCGGUCCUCUCCUGACAGAAGCAUCAACAUCUUCCACUGUGUGAUGGAGAUGAACCACCACUCAUUCCAUCAGGAGAUCCAAGAGUUACUGAAGUCAGAGAACAGAGCCAAGAAAGAACUCUCUGCGAUCCACUGCUCAGCUCUGGCCAUCAUGCUGCAGAUGUCAGAGGAGGUUCUGGAUGAGUUGGACCUGAAGAAGUGAAACACAACACAGGAGGGACAAUUGAGACUGAUUCCAGCUGUGAAGAACUGCAGAAAGGCUGUACUUUCUGACUGUGAACUCUCAUCAACUCACUGUGAAGUUCUGGUCUCAGCUCUGAAGUCCAACCCCCAUCUGAGAGAGCUGGACCUGAGUAACAACAACAACCUGAAGGAUUCAGGAGUGAAGCUGCUGUCUGCUGGACUGAAGAGUCCAAACUGUAGACUGGAGACAGUUGAUGUGUUUGCUCUGUGUAUAUCUACCAAAUCUAAUGACUCUGUUUGCACUCAGAUUGGAUUGAUGUUAGAAAGAAAAUUGCACGCUUUAAAUUACAGUGUGUUAAAAAAUCAUCAAUCAAUCAAUUGUAUCAGUAUUUCUGAAAAAACAAAAACUGUGCGGCAGGGGCUUCAUGGAAUGGGUUUCCAUGGCUGAGCAGCUGCAUGCAAGCCUUACAUCACCAAGUCCAAUGCCAAGUGUCGGAUGUAGUGGUGUAAAGCGCAUCAUCACUGGACUGUGGAGCAGUGGAAACGUGUUCUGUGGAGUGACGAAUAACGCUUCUCUGUUUGGCAGUCAGAUGGUGGAGUCUGGGUUUGGUGGAUGCCGGGAGAACGUUACCUGCCUGACUGCAUCGUGCCAACUGUGAAGUUUGGUAAAGGAGGGAUAAUGAUUGAGUGACUGCAGUUUGUCAGAGAUCAGCUGUUCUUCUCUGGUCUCAGCUCUGAAGUCCAACCCCUCCCAUCUGAGAGAGCUGGACCUGAGUUACAACUACAACCUGAAGGAUCCAGAUGUGAAGCUGCUGUCUGAUCUUGUGGAGAG